rnacentral:rRNA from 1 species
AUUGAACGCUGGCGGCAGGCUUAACACAUGCAAGUCGAACGGUAACAUAAAGAAGCUUGCUUCCUUUGAUGACGAGUGGCGGACGGGUGAGUAAUGCUUGGGAAUCUAGCUUAUGGAGGGGGAUAACUACGGGAAACUGUAGCUAAUACCGCGUAGAAUCGAGAGAUGAAAGUGUGGGACCUUCGGGCCACAUGCCAUAGGAUGAGCCCAAGUGGGAUUAGGUAGUUGGUGAGGUAAAGGCUCACCAAGCCGACGAUCUCUAGCUGGUCUGAGAGGAUGACCAGCCACACUGGGACUGAGACACGGCCCAGACUCCUACGGGAGGCAGCAGUGGGGAAUAUUGCGCAAUGGGGGCAACCCUGACGCAGCCAUGCCGCGUGAAUGAAGAAGGCCUUCGGGUUGUAAAGUUCUUUCGGUAGCGAGGAAGGCAUUUAGUUUAAUU